UGAAUGUGGUGUCGAGUUUAUGAAGGU
rnacentral:piRNA from 1 species